rnacentral:tRNA from 2 species
ACUUUUUUAGUAUAAAUAAAUAUUAUUGACUUCCAAUCAAUAGAUCUUAAUAAAGAAAAAGUA